rnacentral:rRNA from 1 species
GACGAACGCUGGCGGCGUGCCUAAUACAUGCAAGUCGAGCGGACGGAUGGGAGCUUGCUUCCAGACCGUCCGCGGCGGACGGGUGAGUAACACGUGGGCAACCUCCCUGUAAGGCUGGGAUAACUCCGGGAAACCGGGGCUAAUACCGGAUAACUCUUUCCCUCACAUGAGGGAAAGCUGAAAGAUGGCAUCUCGCUAUCACUCACACAUGGGCCCGCGGCGCAUUAGCGAGUUGGUGCGGUACCGGCUCACCAAGGCGACGAUGCGUAGCCGACCUGCGGGGGGGAUCGGCGACAGUGGGAGUGAGACGCGGCACUGAGACCGAGGGGAGGCAGAAGUAGCGAAGCGUCCGCAAUGGACGAAAGUCUGACGGAGCAGCGCCGCGUGAGUGAUGAAGGUGUGCGGAUCGGAAAACUGUGUUGUGAGGGAAGAACGAGUACCGGAGUAACUGCCGGUACCGUGACGGUACCUGACCAGAAAGCCACGGCUAACUACGUG